GGUGCACCUUUUGGUGCUGCACCUAAAGCCCGCCUUGUGCCUUGUGCUCUUGGCUUCUUCAUUUAU
rnacentral:rRNA from 1 species